GCUGAGCAUGCCCAGUGGGACGGCCGCGACUCGCUCGGAAGCUCCCGCCUCGAUGUGCGCGGCUUGCGGGGGACCCCAGCUAGGCGUCUACCUGGAAGCCCAGCCGGGCAGGGGUGCGGGUUGCUGAUCGGUCCCAAGAGUCCCUGUUAGCACCAUCUUACUGUCCCUGGAGCCACCUUGCUUGAUAAUUAAUCUUAUAACAUCUGAGAAGCUCCGAAAUCUUUUCUGGCAAGAGAAAGAAACAGGGUUCCUUCCUGUGCUUCCUGGUGCUGCGCGGGAGGAGAGAAUCUCUUCAGUCGCCGCAGCAGUACUGUGGAGCUGAAAGCAGACCUGUCACAGCACUGAAGUGCUGAAAUAGGAGAUCAGCCCAGGAGCACUUCCAAGUGAAGGAAGAAAAAGGGAAAGGUUUUGCUGGUUCCCUGAACAUCAGCUCCUCUCCUCUUUAGUGACGAUUGAAAAGAUAACAGAUGUUGGCAAGUAUGUGGCCAGACAGACAGCAACAUCAAGAGGAGUUGCUGUCAUCUUUGGAAAUCUCUGAAUAAAAGCUCUUCCCCUUCCCAGGGUUAAAUAUAUUCCUAAAAGAAAUACUACUGUAA